UUCAAAUAUGUUUCAGUUAAAGUAAUCUUAGCAUUUUGCUAAGAUUCUUUUAAUCAUGAAUUAAAAAUUUUUAGAGAGGGGUUUGGUGUUGGGGAGUUUUUUUGUUUGUUUUGUUUGUUUGGGUUUUUUUUAGGUUUUUCUCUCCCAUAAGUUCAGUGCUGUUGCUUUAAAUAGCAUGACUGCCUGAUGUCCCCUCACAAAGAAUAACAGCAGCUCUUAAAGGGGCACUGUCAGUGUCAACCUCUGUCUCUCCCUCCUUCUUUGAUCUCUCUCUCCGCCUUUUUUUUUUACCCUUUACUUUCAUAAUUUUUGAAAAUUAUAUUCUGGCACAUUUUAUAGUUUCUCUUUAGGGCAUUUUUCUCUUUCCUGGCUAAAGAUAAUAAUCAAGAACCUUUUUGCUGAUGUUAUUCCUAAAGCAUAUCUCACUCAGAGGAAUCCUGUGCUCAUACAGAAAGGAUUAUGUGAGCCAAGACCCUUCAUUGUCCUCAAUUUGGAAUUUCCAUUUUCAUUUACAAAAUGUUAUGGUUCAUCUGUCCAUCUGCAGUGAACACUGUCAUCUGCAUCAGUGUCACUGAUGAACAUUUGCCAGCUUGAGUUUGCAGGAAAAAACUCAGUGUGAACUGUCCAACUCUCUAACCCCAUUAUUAAAAAUUAUUUGAAAACCUGA